GGGUUGUGAGGUUAAGCGACUAAGCGUACACGGUGGAUGCCCUGGCAGUCAGAGGCGAUGAAGGACGUGCUAAUCUGCGAUAAGCGUCGGUAAGGUGAUAUGAACCGUUAUAACCGGCGAUUUCCGAAUGGGGAAACCCAGUGUGAUUCGUCACACUAUCAUUAACUGAAUCCAUAGGUUAAUGAGGCGAACCGGGGGAACUGAAACAUCUAAGUACCCCGAGGAAAAGAAAUCAACCGAGAUUCCCCCAGUAGCGGCGAGCGAACGGGGAGGAGCCCAGAGCCUGAAUCAGUGUGUGUGUUAGUGGAAGCGUCUGGAAAGGCGCGCGAUACAGGGUGACAGCCCCGUACACAAAAAUACACAUAUUGUGAGCUCGAUGAGUAGGGCGGGACACGUGGUAUCCUGUCUGAAUAUGGGGGGACCAUCCUCCAAGGCUAAAUACUCCUGACUGACCGAUAGUGAACCAGUACCGUGAGGGAAAGGCGAAAAGAACCCCGGCGAGGGGAGUGAAAAAGAACCUGAAACCGUGUACGUACAAGCAGUGGGAGCACGCUUAGGCGUGUGACUGCGUACCUUUUGUAUAAUGGGUCAGCGACUUAUAUUCUGUAGCAAGGUUAACCGAAUAGGGGAGCCGAAGGGAAACCGAGUCUUAACUGGGCGUUAAGUUGCAGGGUAUAGACCCGAAACCCGGUGAUCUAGCCAUGGGCAGGUUGAAGGUUGGGUAACACUAACUGGAGGACCGAACCGACUAAUGUUGAAAAAUUAGCGGAUGACUUGUGGCUGGGGGUGAAAGGCCAAUCAAACCGGGAGAUAGCUGGUUCUCCCCGAAAGCUAUUUAGGUAGCGCCUCGUGAAUUCAUCUCCGGGGGUAGAGCACUGUUUCGGCAAGGGGGUCAUCCCGACUUACCAACCCGAUGCAAACUGCGAAUACCGGAGAAUGUUAUCACGGGAGACACACGGCGGGUGCUAACGUCCGUCGUGAAGAGGGAAACAACCCAGACCGCCAGCUAAGGUCCCAAAGUCAUGGUUAAGUGGGAAACGAUGUGGGAAGGCCCAGACAGCCAGGAUGUUGGCUUAGAAGCAGCCAUCAUUUAAAGAAAGCGUAAUAGCUCACUGGUCGAGUCGGCCUGCGCGGAAGAUGUAACGGGGCUAAACCAUGCACCGAAGCUGCGGCAGCGACGCUUAUGCGUUGUUGGGUAGGGGAGCGUUCUGUAAGCCUGCGAAGGUGUGCUGUGAGGCAUGCUGGAGGUAUCAGAAGUGCGAAUGCUGACAUAAGUAACGAUAAAGCGGGUGAAAAGCCCGCUCGCCGGAAGACCAAGGGUUCCUGUCCAACGUUAAUCGGGGCAGGGUGAGUCGACCCCUAAGGCGAGGCCGAAAGGCGUAGUCGAUGGGAAACAGGUUAAUAUUCCUGUACUUGGUGUUACUGCGAAGGGGGGACGGAGAAGGCUAUGUUGGCCGGGCGACGGUUGUCCCGGUUUAAGCGUGUAGGCUGGUUUUCCAGGCAAAUCCGGAAAAUCAAGGCUGAGGCGUGAUGACGAGGCACUACGGUGCUGAAGCAACAAAUGCCCUGCUUCCAGGAAAAGCCUCUAAGCAUCAGGUAACAUCAAAUCGUACCCCAAACCGACACAGGUGGUCAGGUAGAGAAUACCAAGGCGCUUGAGAGAACUCGGGUGAAGGAACUAGGCAAAAUGGUGCCGUAACUUCGGGAGAAGGCACGCUGAUAUGUAGGUGAAGUCCCUUGCGGAUGGAGCUGAAAUCAGUCGAAGAUACCAGCUGGCUGCAACUGUUUAUUAAAAACACAGCACUGUGCAAACACGAAAGUGGACGUAUACGGUGUGACGCCUGCCCGGUGCCGGAAGGUUAAUUGAUGGGGUCAGCGCAAGCGAAGCUCUUGAUCGAAGCCCCGGUAAACGGCGGCCGUAACUAUAACGGUCCUAAGGUAGCGAAAUUCCUUGUCGGGUAAGUUCCGACCUGCACGAAUGGCGUAAUGAUGGCCAGGCUGUCUCCACCCGAGACUCAGUGAAAUUGAACUCGCUGUGAAGAUGCAGUGUACCCGCGGCAAGACGGAAAGACCCCGUGAACCUUUACUAUAGCUUGACACUGAACAUUGAGCCUUGAUGUGUAGGAUAGGUGGGAGGCUUUGAAGUGUGGACGCCAGUCUGCAUGGAGCCGGCCUUGAAAUACCACCCUUUAAUGUUUGAUGUUCUAACGUGGACCCGUGAUCCGGGUUGCGGACAGUGUCUGGUGGGUAGUUUGACUGGGGCGGUCUCCUCCUAAAGAGUAACGGAGGAGCACGAAGGUUGGCUAAUCCUGGUCGGACAUCAGGAGGUUAGUGCAAUGGCAUAAGCCAGCUUGACUGCGAGCGUGACGGCGCGAGCAGGUGCGAAAGCAGGUCAUAGUGAUCCGGUGGUUCUGAAUGGAAGGGCCAUCGCUCAACGGAUAAAAGGUACUCCGGGGAUAACAGGCUGAUACCGCCCAAGAGUUCAUAUCGACGGCGGUGUUUGGCACCUCGAUGUCGGCUCAUCACAUCCUGGGGCUGAAGUAGGUCCCAAGGGUAUGGCUGUUCGCCAUUUAAAGUGGUACGCGAGCUGGGUUUAGAACGUCGUGAGACAGUUCGGUCCCUAUCUGCCGUGGGCGCUGGAGAACUGAGGGGGGCUGCUCCUAGUACGAGAGGACCGGAGUGGACGCAUCACUGGUGUUCGGGUUGUCAUGCCAAUGGCACUGCCCGGUAGCUAAAUGCGGAAGAGAUAAGUGCUGAAAGCAUCUAAGCACGAAACUUGCCCCGAGAUGAGUUCUCCCUGACCCUUUAAGGGUCCUGAAGGAACGUUGAAGACGACGACGUUGAUAGGCCGGGUGUGUAAGCGCAGCGAUGCGUUGAGCUAACCGGUACUAAUGAACCGUGAGGCUUAACCUUACAACGCCGAAGGUGUUU
rnacentral:rRNA from 1 species